rnacentral:rRNA from 1 species
GAUGAACGCUGGCGGCGUGCCUAAUACAUGCAAGUCGAGCGAACGGACGAGAAGCUUGCUUCUCUGAUGUUAGCGGCGGACGGGUGAGUAACACGUGGAUAACCUACCUAUAAGACUGGGAUAACUUCGGGAAACCGGAGCUAAUACCGGAUGAUAUUUUGAACCGCAUGGUUCAAAAGUGAAAGACGGUCUUGCUGUCACUUAUAGAUGGAUCCGCGCCUCAUUAGCGAGUUGGUAAGGUAACGGCUUACCAAGGCAACGAUGCAUAGCCGGCCUGAGAGGACGACGGGCCACACUGGGACUGAGACACGGCCCAGACUCCUACGGGAGGCAGCAGUGGGGAAUUUUGGACAAUGGGCGAAAGCCUGAUCCAGCAAUGCAGCGUGUGUGAAGAAGGCCUUCGGGUUGUAAAACACUGUUGUCCGGAAAGAAAUCCUUGGCUCUAAUACAGUCGGGGGAUGACGGUACCGGAUGAAUAAGCACCGGCUAACUACGUG